rnacentral:sRNA from 1 species
CCGCCCUGCCUUUCAGGCAUCCUCUCCCAAAACUUUUCAAGCCGACCUUCGGGUCGGCUUUUCUUUUUGGCGCAC